ACGGAAAACACGCCAGCAGACGCCACAGUCGAAAUGUUCAUGUGGGCCCACAAUGUGGUGAGCGGGAGCAUGCAGCAGUGGAAGGAGGCCGUCCAGGGUUGCUCAACGGCAGCUGGGAUGGGCUCCACAUCUCCGUAACGUCCACAAUCCAUUUGCUGCUGAUAAGGGAUGAAAGGUGCUAUGAGGUAAACAAGAAUCUGACGGCAAGGGGAGGUGGCACGGCCGACUGUAAAGCUCUGCGUCUGGUGAC